rnacentral:rRNA from 1 species
AUACGGAGGGUGCUAGCGUUGUUCGGAAUUACUGGGCGUAAAGCGCGUGUAGGCGGAUCCAGAAGUCGGGUGUGAAAGCCCUGGGCUUAACCCAGGAAGUGCGCCCGAAACCAUGGGUCUUGAGGUCCGGAGGGGAUCGGGGAAUUCCCAGUGUAGAGGUGAAAUUCGUAGAUAUUGGGAGGAACACCGGUGGCGAAGGCGCCGAUCUGGACGGAUUCUGACGCUGAGACGCGAAAGCGUGGGUAGC